CCUCCACGCAGCAGCGGUGGGUCUCGACAAGGUGGUUCGGCAAAACAAGGAACACCACGGCGGAAGAGCAAAAAGCCUUGGCGCGGGCUGCAGAGAUGAAAGAGGAGCUCUACAACACCAUCCUUGACAUUACAAACAAGUACAAGGUUCCUGGAAAGAUAGGCAGAGACAACAGGCUGCUCCUUGAGCGACUUUCCGUGCAAGUCGAGCCUAGACUCAAUGACCCCUACUGGCGGUCUUGUUGUAGAACGGAAAUAACAAAUCAUAUCUUGAUCACGGUUGGAUCAUGCUCUCUUAUUAUGAUGGCUCCUUCUGCUUUGGGUUGGCUGAUUACAGCGGUAACCCCUCGAAAAAAGAAUUUGUUGGAGCAAUGGUGGGACUCAGUAUUCGGAAACUAGACUUGGGUCGAGGAGCUCCGGGAUUGGUGGAGGCAGCACUAGCUCAAGUCAAGUCUGAUGCACAUCAAUGACUGAUUACUCAAGACGAUGGAACUGUUUAUCAGCUAGCCUAGCUGUAAUUGUUGAAGUCCAUAGGCACUAUAUAGUUGGAACUGUGUAAAUGUUUGAGAUCACCAACGCAUAAGAACAAUGUUAUAAUU